rnacentral:rRNA from 1 species
AUUGAACGCUGGCGGCAGGCCUAACACAUGCAAGUCGAGCGGAUGAAGGGAGCUUGCUCCUGGAUUCAGCGGCGGACGGGUGAGUAAUGCCUAGGAAUCUGCCUGGUAGUGGGGGAUAACGCCCGGAAACGGGCGCUAAUACCGCAUACGUCCUGCGGGAGAAAGGGGGGGAUCUUCGGACCUCACGCUAUCAGAUGAGCCUAGGUCGGAUUAGCUAGUUGGUGGGGUAAAGGCCUACCAAGGCGACGAUCCGUAACUGGUCUGAGAGGAUGAUCAGUCACACUGGAACUGAGACACGGUCCAGACUCCUACGGGAGGCAGCAGUGGGGAAUAUUGGACAAUGGGCGAAAGCCUGAUCCAGCCAUGCCGCGUGUGUGAAGAAGGUCUUCGGAUUGUAAAGCACUUUAAGUUAGGAGGAAGGGCAGUAAGUUAAUACCUUGCUGUUUUGACGUUACCAACAGAAUAAGCACCGGCUAACUUCGUG